rnacentral:rRNA from 1 species
CGCUGGCGGCGCGUUUAAGCAUGCAAGUCGAGCGGCAAGGGCCUUCGGGCCCCUAGAGCGGCGGACGGGUGAGUAACACGUGGACAAUCUGCCCCCCGGCCCGGGAUAGCCCAGGGAAACCUGGAUUAAUACCGGAUGAGACGGGACCCGCGAUGGCGGGAUCCGGGAAAGGCGCUGCGGCGCCGCCGGGGGAUGAGUCUGCGUCCCAUUAGCUAGACGGCGGGGUAACGGCCCACCGUGGCGACGAUGGGUAGCCGGCCUGAGAGGGUGGACGGCCACAUUGGAACUGAGACACGGUCCAGACUCCUACGGGAGGCAGCAGCUAAGAAUCUUCCGCAAUGGGCGAAAGCCUGACGGAGCGACGCCGCGUGAACGAAGAAGGCCGUGAGGUUGUAAAGUUCUUUUCGGGAGGGGGAGCAACCGUGGCAGGGAAUGGCCGCGGGAUGACGUGAAUCCCGGAAUAAGCCCCGGCUAACUACGUGCCAGCAGCAGC